rnacentral:rRNA from 1 species
UACGAAGGGGGCUAGCGUUGUUCGGAAUUACUGGGCGUAAAGCGCGCGUAGGCGGACAUUUAAGUCAGGGGUGAAAUGCCGGGGCUCAACCUCGGAACUGCCUUUGAUACUGGGUGUCUGGAGUUCGGGAGAGGUGAGUGGAAUUCCGAGUGUAGAGGUGAAAUUCGUAGAUAUUCGGAGGAACACCAGAAGCGAAGGCGGCUCACUGGCCCGAUACUGACGCUGAGGCGCGAAAGCGUGGGGAGCGAACAGG